CUACGGGUGGCUGCAGUGAGGAAUUUUGCGCAAUGGGGGAAACCCUGACGCAGCAACGCCGCGUGAGUGAUGAAGGCCUUCGGGUCGUAAAGCUCUGUCAAGUGGGAAGAACCUGCCCUGUGCUAAUAUCACCGGGCACUGACGGUACCACUGAAGGAAGCACCGGCUAACUCCGUGCCAGCAGCCGCGGUAACACGGAGGGUGCAAGCGUUAUUCGGAAUCACUGGGCGUAAAGAGCGCGUAGGCGGUCUCUUAAGUCAGAUGUGAAAGCCCGGGGCUCAACCCCGGAAGUGCAUUUGAAACUAAGGGACUUGAGUAUGGGAGAGGGAAGUGGAAUUCCUGGUGUAGCGGUGAAAUGCGUAGAUAUCAGGAGGAACACCGGUGGCGAUGGCGACUUCCUGGACCAAUACUGACGCUGAGGCGCGAAGGCGUGGGGAGCAAACAGGAUUAGAUACCCUCGUAGUC
rnacentral:rRNA from 1 species